GGCAAUGGGGGCAACCCUGACCGAGCAACGCCGCGUGAGUGAAGAAGGUUUUCGGAUCGUAAAGCUCUGUUGUAAGUCAAGAACGGGUGUGAGAGUGGAAAGUUCACACUGUGACGGUAGCUUACCAGAAAGGGACGGCUAACUACGUGCCAGCAG
rnacentral:rRNA from 1 species